rnacentral:rRNA from 1 species
ACGGGGCGCAGCAGGCGCGACGGGGCCCAGCAGCCGCGAAAACUUGGCAAUGCGAGAAAUCGUGACCAGGGAACUCCAAGUGCAUCGGGUAAUACCGAUGCUUUUCUUGACUCUUCAAAGGUCUUGGAAUAAGGGGUGGGUAAGGACGGUGCCAGCAGCCGCGGUAAU